rnacentral:rRNA from 1 species
UCGAGAGGGGCACAACUCCGAGAAAUCGGAGCUAAUACCCCAUACGUUCAGAUUGACGAUAGUCGGUCUGAAGAAAGGCGGCGCAAGCUGCCACUCUUAGAUGGGUUCUUGUCCUAUCAGCUUGUUGGUAGGGUAAUGGCCUACCAAGGCAAUAACGGGUAGUCGGCGUGAGAGCGUGACCGGCCACAUGGGAACUGAGAAACGGUCCCAACUCCUACGGGAGGCAGCAGUCUAGAAAAUUGGGCAAUGGGCGAAAGCCUGACCCAGCGACGCCGUGUGUAGGAUGAAGUCUUUCGGGAUGUAAACUACUGUCAGAGGGAACGAUGCCAUUUGCGAGUAACUGCGCAGAUGGUGACGGUACUCUCAGAGGAAGCCCCGGCUAACUACGUGCCAGCAGCCGCGGUAAAACGUAGGGGGCAAGCGUUGUUCGGAAUUACUGGGUGUAAAGGGUGUGUAGGCGGACUGGAAAGUCGGGGGUGAAAUCCUUUGACUCAAUCAAAGAAUUGCUUCCGAUACUUCUGGUCUUGAGGGCAAGAGAGGAAGAUGGAACUUCUGGUGUAGCGGUAGAAUGCGUAGAUAUCAGAAGGAACACCGAUAGCGAAAGCAGUCUUCUGGAAUGCACCUGACGCUGAAACACGAAAGCUGGGGGAGCAAACAAGGAUUAGAUACCCUGGUAGUCCCAGCCCUAAACGAUGUUCACUAGGCGUCUCCACUUUGGUGGAGGUGCCGGAGCUAACGCAUUAAGUGAACCACCUGGGGACUACCGGCCGCAAGGUUGAAACUCAAAGGAAUUGACGGGGGCCCGCACAAGCGGUGGAGCAUGUGGUUUAAUUCGUCACUAACCGAAGAACCUUACCAGGGCUUGACAUCUGCUGAAAGCGCCUGAAAGGGAGGCCCUUCCCCCAAAAGGGGAACAGCAAGACAGGUGUUGCAUGGCUGUCGUCAGCUCGUGUCGUGAGAUGUUGGGUUAAGUCCCGCAACGAGCGCAACCCUCAUCCGAUGUUGCCAGCAGGUAAAGCCGGGAACUCUUCGGAAACUGCCCGUGCAAGCGGGAGGAAGGUGGGGAUGACGUCAAGUCGGCAUGGCUCUUACGCCCUAGGCUACACACAUGCUACAAUGGACGGCUAAACAGAGGGAACCGAAGCCGCGAGGUGGGGGGAAUCUCAAAAACACGUCCUCAGUUCGGAUUGCAGUCUGCAACUCGACUGCA